AGCGAACGCUGGCGGCAGGCUUAACACAUGCAAGUCGAACGCCCCGCAAGGGGAGUGGCAGACGGGUGAGUAACACGUGGGAACGUACCCUUUGGUUCGGAAUAACUUGGGGAAACUCAAGCUAAUACCGGAUAAGUCCUUAUGGGGAAAGGUUUACUGCCGAAGGAUCGGCCCGCGUCUGAUUAGCUAGUUGGUGAGGUAAUGGCGCACCAAGGCGACGAUCAGUAGCUGGUCUGAGAGGAUGAUCAGCCACACUGGGACUGAGACACGGCCCAGACUCAUACGGGAGGCAGCAGUGGGGAAUAUUGGACAAUGGGGGCAACCCUGAUCCAGCCAUGCCGCGUGAGUGAUGAAGGCCUUAGGGUUGUAAAGCUCUUUUACCCGGGACGAUAAUGACUGUACCGGAAGAAUAAGCCCCGGCUAACUUCGUGCCAGCCGCCGCAGUAA
rnacentral:rRNA from 1 species